AGGGUUUGAUUAUGGCUCAGGACGAACGCUGGCGGCGUGCUUAACACAUGCAAGUCGAACGGGAGGACAUGGGAAGCUUGCUUCCUAUGGACUCUAGUGGCAAACGGGUGAGUAACGCGUAAGCAACCUGCCCUCCGGAUGGGGACAACAGCUGGAAACGGCUGCUAAUACCGAAUACGUUUCCAUUGCCGCAUGGCAGUGGGAAGAAAGGUGGCCUCUGAAUAUGCUACCGCCGGGGGAGGGGCUUGCGUCUGAUUAGCUGGUUGGAGGGGUAACGGCCCACCAAGGCGACGAUCAGUAGCCGGUCUGAGAGGAUGAACGGCCACAUUGGAACUGAGACACGGUCCAG
rnacentral:rRNA from 1 species